GCCUACGGCCAUGCUACCCUGAACAUGCCUAAUCCCGUCUGAUCUCGGAAGCUAAGCAGGGUCAGGCCUGGUUAGUACUUGGAUGGGAGACCACCUAGGAAGACCAGGCACUGUAGAUU
rnacentral:rRNA from 1 species